GACGAACCGUGCGAACGUUGUUCGGAAUCACUGGGCUUAAAGGGCGCGUAGGCGGGCGGCAAAGUCAGGGGUGAAAUCCUCCAGCUUAACUGGAGAAGUGCCUUUGAUACUGGUCGUCUUUGAGGAAGGUAGGGGCAUGCGGAACUGAUGGUGGAGCGGUGAAAUGUGUUGAUAUCAUCAGGAACUCCGGUGGCGAAAGCGGCGUGCUGGACCUUUUCUGACGCUGAUGCGCGAAAGCCAGGGGAGCAAACGGG
rnacentral:rRNA from 1 species